GCGCCUCAACGGCAGCAUCUCUGUGACGGCGGCGCUGACUAGCCGGCCGGUCGGUCGGCCGUUUGGCGUUGCUUGGCAGUCAGCCAGGCUCCGUGGCUUAUCCUGCAUCCUGGCCUCGUGCAGUUGUCCAACAGCAGCCGGUGUUGGCAGUAGUACAUCAGCUUGUCGUCGUCGCUGACACAUUGAUAAAUAAAUCUUAAUCAACUUCAAAAUUACUAUUCAGUCAGCGCCAGAGCAAGUAACAACAGCAGCAACAAGCUUGGCGCAGCAUCAUAUUAAUUCCACAUAAAAGCAAAAUGUCGUCGCAAUGCUAACUAACUGGUGCGCCUUAGCGUCGUAGCCAGAUAUGUUAUAAUCCGAGUGUCAGUUGUUUAAUUUACCGCGUACGCUCGACCGUCCAACGCUUCGCUUGCUCGUACAACAACACUAACUUUGCACUAACUUUUGCUUAACUGCAAAUGAUUUAUGGCCAAGAGACAAUGAAACCGAAUCUCCGUAUACAAAAGUGCCGCUAACACUGGUCUCACAUGCACCUAUGAUUGCAUAUGAACGUCGCAUAUAACGGUUCUUGUUGUCAUUUGUCGUUUGGUGCGUUCGAGUUUUCAUUUGGUUUGGUUUUCGGCUGCUUUUCCGUUUGUUGUGUGUUGCCGGCUUGUUGGUUGUCGCCUGUCAGUGUUUUCGACUGCCGGACGGACAGACGCUCACAUGCGCUCGCCUAUACAUAUGUAUGUAUGUAGGUUCGCGUGUAUGUGGCAACGUGCAACAUGCUGUAAUUUCCGUGUUUAGAACUGUGUCGGUGUUGCCGCUAUUGUUGUUGUUAUAAUUAUUGCCGCCGUUGUGCAAAAACUCGACUCAAGUGUGGCAAACGGAUCGGUGAAUGUUGGUAAAUUCCUGUAAAUCAAAAUGUGGCACAUGCGAGUGAGCGCGUAUGUAGAAAUAGACCUACCGGUGGGCUGUGGCAAUUGGGCGUACAAUCAUGGAGAACCAUUCGGGAAUGGCGAGAAACCAGAUGCUUCCAACCGCCAAACUGAAUCCAAAAACUGCAUGAUCUUCUAAAGAAACAGACUUCAAAAACGAAACGCUCAUUUGUCCGCCGUGCAGUAGGUGAUAAAGUUAUAGGAGAAAUUGCCUCCCAGGAAAACCAAGACUUAAAUCGAAAGGGGCCAACAUAAAAAAUGGAGCAUAAUUGGAUCUGGACCCACAAUCCAUAAAUCAACGUCUAGCAACUUAAGAGCGUUUAUUAUCGAUCCAGAAGUUUCUUUGGAUCAUCAGAGAAAAUACACGACCAAAAUGCUUCGGUUGAAAGCGCCUGAGGGGAACAUGGAAGAGCACAGGUUCAAUGGGUUGCCAUGCAUGAGAAGAACGCAGCCAACCAACGGCCUGGUCGAGCUGCGUGGCAAGUAGCUACAUGUGGCUGCAACAUACGGUGGCGGCACCGACGGCGGAGACGGCGCCUGGAAGACACGGAAACAUGCCACUAAAACACCGCUGAUGAUGUAUGAUGUUGAAGUUCUGUCCAUUAAAUGUUGUUUCAAAACGGCUUUGGCAUGACUAACUGCUGAUGACGAGUGAGAUGCGAGCAUUGACGAGCGUGAAUGCUGACUACAACAAGCGAAAUGUCGGUUGCAAAGCAACA
rnacentral:lncRNA from 1 species